UAUCUAUCCACACCAUUAUAGAAGAUGAUCUCUUAUAUGAUGAUACUUGAAGCAACCCACUCUCAAGAACACCUCUCUGCAUCUCUACCCUGGCCUCUGAAUGCACCAAAAAUGUCACCAUUGAAGUUUGUUUCAGUUAUUCAUCUAUCAAGCAUUCAUUGAGUAUUUCAUGAACCACAUAUAAAGAAAUAAGGAGGAGCUACUACUCUACUCCCUAAAUUCUACUGUGGGACUCAGUCUGAUGGAGCAAGCCAAAUCUGUGACAAUGGUGUCUUCAUACAGAAUAUAGAGUCAGUAUGCACUGACUCUUGAAGCCUCUUUGUGAAAGGGCACAUGUUAUUUCUCCUCACAUUUCAUUGCCAAAGCAAGGCUUACAACCAAGUUUGCCAUCAGUAGGGCAAGUAAGUAUUUUAGAAUAAGCAGGGAACAUUUUAAACACUAAUACAAUCUUCCACAUCUAACUAUUUAUUUUUAAUGGCUGAAAAGUAUCCCAUAGUAUGAAUAUACUCUAAUUUAUUUAAUUAUUUUCCUGUUGAUGAAUAUUUCAGUUGUCUCUGGUGUUUCACCAUUACAAAAUAUCAGGGCUGAAUGUGUAUCAAUAGCUACAUUACACUUAUCAACAUAUUAUUUUUAACAUUACCAUUUAAUAAAUACAAAGUAUAGAUUUUUUCAGAUCUGCCAGUCUUGUGGUCAUGCUAUUUAGCCUUUUUGUUACAUUUUUUAUUUUUCAUAUUUUUGUAAAUAGCUUCAUUAUUUCAAAAAUACCUGACAAAAGCUUUUCUAAAAUAUUCAUCAUUUCAGUGGUGAGUCAGGGUACAGAGCCACCUUUAUCUUUGGUCAUUGGAAAAUAAACAUUUCUAUGUGUAGCAAGGGCUAUCCUACCAUGGAGAAAGGAGGUCUUCCAUGCUUUGCCACUGCUGUGCUCCACACCAUUUUACGUCUUUUCUCCUUCCAGACCCAGUUUCCAC
rnacentral:lncRNA from 10 species